rnacentral:rRNA from 1 species
AUGUGUGUUGAUUGUAGAGCCAUCAAUAAUAUUACAAUUCGAUAUCGUCAUCCUAUUCCUAGAUUAGAUGACAUGCUUGAUGAACUCAGUGGCUCAGUUGUGUUUUCUAAAGUGGACUUGCGUCGUGGCUACCAUCAAAUUCGUAUGAAACUAGGUGAUGAAUGGAAAACUGCUUUCAAAACUAAAUUUGGUUUAUAUGAGUGGUUAGUUAUGCCUUUUGGAUUGACUAAUGCACCUAGUACUUUCAUGAGACUAAUGAAUGAAGUUUUGCGAGCUUUUAUUGGACGAUUUGUGGUAGUAUAUUUCGAUGAUAUUUUGAUUUAUAGCAAGUCACUAGAGGAACACUUAGACCAUUUGCGUGCUGUUUUUUCUGCUCUGCGUGCUCACGUUUAUUUGGUAAUAUCGAGAAGUGCACUUUUUGCACGGAUCGAGUCGCUUUUCUUGGCUAUGUUGUGA